GGAGACGUACCGAAGUGGUCGUAACGGGACUGACUCGAAAUCAGUUUGACGGGCAACUGUCACGUGAGUUCGAAUCUCACCGUCUCCG
rnacentral:tRNA from 1 species